rnacentral:misc_RNA from 1 species
CUCUGGUGUUAAAUGUUCUAG